ACGACUCUCGGCAACGGAUAUCUCGGCUCUCGCAUCGAUGAAGAACGUAGCGAAAUGCGAUACUUGGUGUGAAUUGCAGAAUCCCGUGAACCAUCGAAGUCUUUGAACGCAAGUUGCGCCCCAAGCCUUCUGGCCGAGGGCACGUCUGCCUGGGUGUCACAA
rnacentral:rRNA from 2 species